rnacentral:pre_miRNA from 1 species
AAACGGGGUGGUCGUGAGUGUGGCCACCUGCGUGUGGUGCUCUCGCGGCCGCCCUGGCCAG